GCCUCUUGCAACAAGUAAUAUAAGAGGUCCCGCCUGCCCUGUGACUCUAGUAGUUUAACGGCUGCGGUAUUUUGACCGUGCAAAGGUAGCGCAAUCACUUGUCUUUUAAAUAAAGACCUGUAUGAAUGGCAUGACGAGGGCUUAACUGUCUCCUUUCCCCAGUCAAUGAAAUUGAUCUCCCCGUGAAGAAGCGGGGAUACAACUAUAAGACGAGAAGACCCUGUGGAGCUUUAAACACUAGAGAAGCCCAUGUCAAGCACUCCAAAAUACUAAGAGUGAAACAAAAUGGACCCUCCACUAAUGUUUUUGGUUGGGGCGACCGCGGGGAAAUAAAAAACCCCCAUGUGGAGUGGGAAUACCCUUCCUACAACUCAGAGCAACCGCUCUAAUUAACGGAAUAUCCGACCAACAAUGAUCCGGCCAAGCCGAUCAACGGACCGAGUUACCCCAGGGAUAACAGCGCAAUCCCCUUUUAGAGACCUUAUCGCCAAGGGGGUUUACGACCUCGAUGUUGGAUCAGGACAUCCUAAUGGUGUAGCCGCUAUUAAGGGUUCGUUUGUUCAACGAUUAAAGUC
rnacentral:rRNA from 1 species